rnacentral:rRNA from 1 species
GACGUAGGGUGCAAGCGUUGUCCGGAUUUAUUGGGCGUAAAGAGCUCGUAGGCGGCUUGUUGCGUCGACUGUGAAAACCCGGGGCUCAACUCCGGGCCUGCAGCCGAUACGGGCAGACUAGAGUUCGGCAGGGGAGACUGGAAUUCCUGGUGUAGCGGUGAAAUGCGCAGAUAUCAGGAGGAACACCGGUGGCGAAGGCGGGUCUCUGGGCCGAUACUGACGCUGAGGAGCGAAAGCGUGGGGAGCGAACAGG